rnacentral:rRNA from 1 species
GCAUAUCGAUGAGCGGGACGAAAAGAAACCAACAGGGAUUGCCCUAGUAACGGCGAGGGAAGCGGCAACAGCUCAAAUUUGAAAUCUGGCGCAAGCCCGAGUUGUAAUUUGUAGAGGAUGCUUCUGGGUAGCGGCCGGUCUAAGUUCCUUGGAACAGGACGUCAUAGAGGGUGAGAAUCCCGUAUGUGACUGGCUUGCACCCUCCACGUAGCUCCUUCGACGAGUCGAGUUGUUUGGGAAUGCAGCUCUAAAUGGGAGGUAAAUUUCUUCUAAAGCUAAAUACCGGCCAGAGACCGAUAGCGCACAAGUAGAGUGAUCGAAAGAUGAAAAGCACUUUGGAAAGAGAGUUAAAAAGCACGUGAAAUUGUUGAAAGGGAAGCGCCCGCAACCAGACUUUGCGGCGGUGUUCGGCUGGUCUUCUGACCGGUUUACUCGCCGCCGUGAGGCCAUCAUCGUCUGGGACCGCUGGAUAAGACCUGAGGAAUGUAGCUCCCUUCGGGGUGUGUUAUAGCCUUUGGUGAUGCAGCGCGUCUCGGGCGAGGUCCGCGCUUCGGCAAGGAUGAUGGCGUAAUGGUUGUCGGCGGCCCGUCUUGAAACACGGACCAAGGAGUCUAACAUCUAUGCGAGUGUUCGGGUGUCAAACCCCUACGCGUAAUGAAAGUGAACGGAGGUGGGAACUUUUUGUGCACCAUCGACCGAUCCUGAUGUCCUCGGAUGGAUUUGAGUAAGAGCAUAGCUGUUGGGACCCGAAAGAUGGUGAACUAUGCCUGAAUAGGGUGAAGCCAGAGGAAACUCUGGUGGAGGCUCGCAGCGGUUCUGACGUGCAAAUCGAUCGUCAAAUUUGGGUAUAGGGGCGAAAGACUAAUCGAACCAUCUAGUAGCUGGUUCCUGCCGAAG